rnacentral:rRNA from 2 species
CCCCGGUAAACGGCGGCCGUAACUAUAACGGUCCUAAGGUAGCGAAAUUCCUUGUCGGGUAAGUUCCGACCUGCACGAAUGGCGUAAUGAUGGCCAGGCUGUCUCCACCCGAGACUCAGUGAAAUUGAACUCGCUGUGAAGAUGCAGUGUACCCGCGGCAAGACGGAAAGACCCCGUGAACCUUUACUAUAGCUUGACACUGAACAUUGAGCCUUGAUGUGUAGGAUAGGUGGGAGGCUUUGAAGUGUGGACGCCAGUCUGCAUGGAGCCGACCUUGAAAUACCACCCUUUAAUGUUUGAUGUUCUAACGUGGACCCGUAAUCCGGGUUGCGGACAGUGUCUGGUGGGUAGUUUGACUGGGGCGGUCUCCUCCUAAAGAGUAACGGAGGAGCACGAAGGUUGGCUAAUCCUGGUCGGACAUCAGGAGGUUAGUGCAAUGGCAUAAGCCAGCUUGACUGCGAGCGUGACGGCGCGAGCAGGUGCGAAAGCAGGUCAUAGUGAUCCGGUGGUUCUGAAUGGAAGGGCCAUCGCUCAACGGAUAAAAGGUACUCCGGGGAUAACAGGCUGAUACCGCCCAAGAGUUCAUAUCGACGGCGGUGUUUGGCACCUCGAUGUCGGCUCAUCACAUCCUGGGGCUGAAGUAGGUCCCAAGGGUAUGGCUGUUCGCCAUUUAAAGUGGUACGCGAGCUGGGUUUAGAACGUCGUGAGACAGUUCGGUCCCUAUCUGCCGUGGGCGCUGGAGAACUGAGGGGGGCUGCUCCUAGUACGAGAGGACCGGAGUGGACGCAUCACUGGUGUUCGGGUUGUCAUGCCAAUGGCACUGCCCGGUAGCUAAAUGCGGAAGAGAUAAGUGCUGAAAGCAUCUAAGCACGAAACUUGCCCCGAGAUGAGUUCUCCCUGAGACUUAGAGUCUCCUGAAGGAACGUUGAAGACGACGACGUUGAUAG